AUGAACGCUGGCGACGUGGAUAAGGCAUGCAAGUCGAGUGGGUUUAGACCCACGGCGAACGAGGUAGUAACACGUAGGAACGUACCCCAUAGUCGAGCAUAACCAGUCGAAAGAUUGGAUAAUUCUCGAUGGUCUCUUCGGAGUAAAGAUUUAUCGCUAUGGGAGCGGCCUGCGGGAUAUCAGCUAGUUGGUAGGGUAAUGGCCUACCAAGGCAAUGACGUCUAGGGGAGGUGAGAGCCUGGCCCCCACCGAUGGUACUGAGACACGGACCAUACACCUACGGGUGGCCGCAGUCGAGAAUCUUCCGCAAUGGGCGAAAGCCUGACGGAGCGACGUCGCGUGAUGGAUGAAGCACUUAGGUGCGUAAACAUCUUUUAUGAGGGAAGAAACUAUUUAAUUAGUAUGACGGUACCCUAUGAAUAAGGGGUUGCUAAACUCGU
rnacentral:rRNA from 1 species